ensembl:lncRNA
GUUACAUGGCUACAGGGCUACAGGGUGACAAAGCUACAUGGCUACAGGGCUACAGGGUUACAGGGCUACAGGGCUAAAGGGCUACAGGGGUACAGGGCUACAUGGCUACAGGGCUACAGGGUUACAUGGCUACAGGGCUACAGGGUUACAGGGCUACAGGGCUACAGGGUUACAGGACUACAGGGCUACAGGGUUACAGGGCUACAGGGUUACAGAGCUACAGGGCUACAGGGGUACAGGGCUACAGGGUUACAGGGUUACAGGGCUACAGGACUACAGGGUUACAGGGCUACAGGGCUACAGGGCUACAGGGUUACAGGGCUACAGGGUUACAGGGUUACCGGGCUACAGGGUUACAGGGCUACAGGUCUACAUGGCUACAGGGGUACAGGGCUACAGGGGUACAGGGCUACAGGGCUACAUGGCUACAGGGCUACAGGGUUACAGGGUCACAGGUCUACAUGGCUACAGGGCUACAUGGCUACAGGGCUACAGGGUUACAGGACUACAGGGCUACAGGGCUACAGGGCUACAGGGUUACAGGGCUACAGGGUUACAGGGUUACAUGGCUACAUGGCUACAGGGUGACAUAGCUACAUGGCUACAGGGCUACAGGGUUACAUGGCUACAUGGUUACAGGGUUACAUGGCUACAGGGUUACAUGGUUACAGGGUUACAGGGCUACAUGGUUACAUGGCUACGGG